rnacentral:rRNA from 1 species
AGAAUCAUAACAUAUCACCUUACCAACCAGACCGGCAAGCCAGUCAAUCCCAAUUAGAGGCUGGAGAACAGAAGGAAUAUGAGAAAAAUGGGCCCAGACGGGAAUAGAUAACACUUGUUCCUUCGCACGAUCCACUGUGGGCCACACACGUACUACAAUGGUGGUUAACAGAGGGAGGCAAAACCGCGAGGUGGAGCAAAUCCCUAAAAGCCAUCCCAGUUCGGAUUGCAGGCUGCAACCCGCCUGUAUGAAGUUGGAAUCGCUAGUAAUCGCGGAUCAGCAUGCCGCGGUGAAUACGUUCCCGGGCCUUGUACACACCGCCCGUCACACCAUGAGAGUCGGGAACACCCGAAGUCCGUAGCCUAACCGCAAGGAGGGCGCGGCCGAAGGUGGGUUCGAUAAUUGGGGUGAAGUCGUAACAAGGGUCGACGCGGCCG